CAUCUCUUUCGCCAUUGUCACCAUCAAGCUCGCCACUGUCGCCAUUCAUGUCCUCAUCGUUGCCGCCAUCAAACUUCUAUGUCAAUGUGUUGUUUCCUUCCUCUACACAUCAUAGCUUUUGAGAUCAGAGAGACUGAGUUCGUAGCCACCGCAGGUGCCUCCAUCAAGCUUAUUCCAUAGCUUUUGAGAUUAGAGAGACUGAGUUCGUAGCCACCGCAGCGGGGUUGGAAUUUGUUAUGAAGAAAGGUCGCAUCGGUGGUAGUGGGACGACAGUGGCAACGAUGGAGCAAAGAAUGGUUCUUCAGAAAGCGCAACAGGUGAAGAAGAGUAGACAUGGACCGAGGUCGCGAAGCUCAGAAUAUCACGGCGUCACUUUCUAUCGAAGGAUCGGAUGAUGCGAAUCGCAUAUUUGCAUGAUGGAUUAUUCCCCUUUCUUGGAAAUUGAUACUUUUUCCGAUGACAAUUUGAGAAAAUGCACUUCUCACCUUCCUUCUAACCUUAGUAAUGGCUCUUACAUGACAUAGAGAAAGUAUGGUCCAAUUGAUAUUGAAGAUAAACCUCUUGGGGUGAUUCAAUCACCGCCUGUCUCACCCUCAUUGGCAACAGAGUCGCACAGAUUAGAGACCAUUGGAGCAAAGCAAAGGCUGUUGAUAAGCACAACAAUGACCCUCAGAUUGAUAUUCCCGCUUCAGCCAUUUGUUUCUAGUCACUUAUAGAAGCUUCUUCGGGCUUGCCUAAGCAUGAAUGGGAGGUUGGUUGGUCUUUAUCUUUUUCCUACACUUAAAUAAGCAAUUAAUGUUCAAAUAUAUAAGGAGUUGUCUGUUACUGCACGUCUUGUAGUCCCAUCAAACCAAGUGGGCUGUUUGAUAGGGAAAGGAGGAGCGAUGAUAUCAGAAAUGCAGAAGGCAACAGGGACUAGCAUAAGAAUAAUUGGUGGCAACCAAGUUCCAAAGUGUGUAUCAGAUAACGAUGUUGUUCAGGUGUGGAGAUGAUUCUUUAUUUCGCAUUGCUCAAUCAAGAGUUGCUAAAGAAUGGUUCUUAUUUCUUUACUACAUUAUUCUGUGUAACUUAUAAUGCAAAGAAAUCAACUCCUCCCUAGGCCUGAACAGUUUUCUUUUUCUCAUCACUCUUUCUGUUAUUUUGUGUAUUUAAAUGGUGCCAGUUAUACCUUGACUUAACUUCAAAAAGAAAAUGUAAGCCACACAUCUUCUGUUU